rnacentral:rRNA from 1 species
UACGUAGGGUGCAAGCGUUGUCCGGAAUUAUUGGGCGUAAAGAGCUCGUAGGCGGUUUGUCGCGUCGGGAGUGAAAACACCGGGCUUAACUCGGUGCUUGCUUUCGAUACGGGCAGACUAGAGGUAUGCAGGGGAGAACGGAAUUCCUGGUGUAGCGGUGAAAUGCGCAGAUAUCAGGAGGAACACCGGUGGCGAAGGCGGUUCUCUGGGCAUUACCUGACGCUGAGGAGCGAAAGUGUGGGGAGCGAACAGG